GACGAACGCUGGCGGCGUGCUUAACACAUGCAAGUCGAACGGAAAGGCCCUGCUUUUGUGGGGUGCUCGAGUGGCGAACGGGUGAGUAACACGUGAGUAACCUGCCCUUGACUUUGGGAUAACUUCAGGAAACUGGGGCUAAUACCGGAUAGGAGCUCCUGCUGCAUGGUGGGGGUUGGAAAGUUUCGGCGGUUGGGGAUGGACUCGCGGCUUAUCAGCUUGUUGGUGGGGUAGUGGCUUACCAAGGCUUUGACGGGUAGCCGGCCUGAGAGGGUGACCGGCCACAUUGGGACUGAGAUACGGCCCAGACUCCUACGGGAGGGAGCAGUGGGGAAUAUUGCACAAUGGGCGGAAGCCUGAUGCAGCAACGCCGCGUGCGGGGUGACGGCCUGCGGGUUGUAAACCGCUUUCGCCUGUGACGAAGCGUGAGUGACGGUAAUGGGUAAAGAAGCACCGGCUAACUACGUG
rnacentral:rRNA from 1 species